rnacentral:rRNA from 1 species
GGUUUGAUCAUGGCUCAGAUUGAACGCUGGCGGGACGCUUUACAUGCAAGUCGAACGGCAGCACGGACUUCGGUCUGGUGGCGAGUGGCGAACGGUGAGUAAUGUAUCGGAACGUGCCUAGUAAGGGGGAUAACUACGCGAAAGCGUAGCUAAUACCGCAUACGCCCUUCGGGGAAAGCGGGUGGACCUUCGGGCCUCGCAAUUAUUAGAGCGGCCGAUAUCGGAUUAGCUAGUUGGUGGGGUAACGGCUCACCAAGGCGACGAGAUCCGUAGCUGGUUUGAGAGGACGACCGGCCACACUGGGACUGAGACACGGCCCAGACUCCUACGGGAGGCAGCAGUGGGGAAUUUUGGACAAUGGGGAAAAACCCUGAUCCAGCCAUCCCGGGGCGUGUGCGAUGAAGGCCUUCGGGCUAUAAAGCACUUUGGCAGGAAGAAACGGCACGGGAUAAUACCCCGUGCAACUGACGGUACCUGCAGAAUAAGCACCGGCUACGCCAGCAGCCGCGGUAAUACGUAGGGUACAAGCGUUAAUCGGAAUUACCGGGCGUAAAGCGUGCGCAGGCGGUUCGGAAAGAAAGAUGUGGAACCCAGAGCUUAACUUUGGAACUGCAUUUUUAACUACCGAACUAGAGGCCGAGGGAGGUGGAAUUCCGCGUGUAGUAGUGAAAUGCGUAGAUAUGCGGAGGAACACCGAUGGCGAAGGCAGCUCUGGGAUAACACUGACGCUCAUGCACGAAAGUGGGGAGCAAACAGGAUUAGAUACCCUGGUAGUCCACGCCCUAAACGAUGUCAACUAGCUGUUGGGGCCUUCGCUCGGUAGCGCAGCUAACGCGUGGUUGACCGCCUGGGGAGUAUUGUCGCAAGAUUAAAACUCAAAGGAAUUGACGGGGACGCAAGCGGCAGAUAUGUGACAUUCGAGAUGCACCGAAAACUCCAUCACCUUUGACAUGUUCUUGAAUCCAAGAGAUUGGGGAGCGCCGCAUAGAAUCCGGGAAUACAGCUGUGGAGCGGCUGUCGUCACCAGGUCGUGAGGAUGUUGCCAAGUCCUUAACGACGCAACCUCGCCAUUAGUUGCUACGAAAGGCAAUUCCACAGAUUUCGCCAAGGACAAACCGGGAGGAAGCGGGGUGGAUGAUGUCGGGUCUCAUGGGUCUUAUGGUAGGGCUUCACGUCACAUAAUAUCGGACAGGUCGCCGGCAUCCGCGAGGGAGCCAAUCCCAGAAACCCGAUCGUAGUCCGAUCGCAGUCUGCAACUCGACUGCGUGAAGUCGGAACUGCUAGUAAUCGCGGAUCAGCAUGUCGCGGUGAAUACGUUCCCGGUCUUGUACACCGCCCGUCACACCAUGGGAGUGGGUUUACCAGAAGUAGUUAGCCUAACCGUAAGGAGGGCGAUUACCACGGUAGGAUUCAUGAUCGGGGUGAAGUCGUAACAAGGUAG